rnacentral:rRNA from 1 species
CGCCUGUUUAUCAAAAACAUGUCUAUUUGAGGUUAUUUAUAGUCUAGCCUGCUCACUGACAAAAAGUGUUAAAUAGCCGCGGUAUUUUGACCGUGCAAAGGUAGCAUAAUCAUUAGUUUUUUAAUUGGAAACUUGUAUGAAUGGUUGGACAAAGAAAAGACUGUCUCUUUUAUUAAAAUUGAAAUUAACUUCUAAGUGAAAAGGCUUAGAUUUUCUAGAGGGACGAUAAGACCCUAUAAAGCUUCAUAAGUUAAAUAAAUUAGAUGGAUUUUUAGAAUAAAAGUAAAUUUAGUAAGCUUAUUUAGUUGGGGCGACAAGGGUAUAAAAUUAAAUAACUGCUAUUAAGGUUAGACAAUUAUAUUUGGUUGGAUUGUAAUUGAUCCUCGCUAUGGAUUAAAAGAUUAAGUUACUUUAGGGAUAACAGCGUAAUUUCUUUUAAGAGUUCUUAUCAAAGGAGAAGUUUGCGACCUCGAUGUUGAAUUAAAAUGUCUUUAUAGUGCAGAAGCUAUAAAAGAAGGUCUGUUCGACCUUUAAUUUUUUACGUGAUCUGAGUUCAGACCGG